rnacentral:rRNA from 1 species
UACGUAGGGUGCGAGCGUUAAUCGGAAUUACUGGGCGUAAAGCGUGCGCAGGCGGUUUGCUAAGACCGAUGUGAAAUCCCCGGGCUUAACCUGGGAACUGCAUUGGUGACUGGCAGGCUAGAGUAUGGCAGGGGGGGGUAGAAUUCCACGUGUAGCAGUGAAAUGCGUAGAGAUGUGGAGGAAUACCGAUGGCGAAGGCAGCCCCCUGGGCCAAUACUGACGCUCAUGCACGAAAGCGUGGGGAGCAAACAGG